rnacentral:rRNA from 1 species
AACGCUAGCUACAGGCUUAACACAUGCAAGUCGAGGGGAAACGAUAGAGAAAGCUUGCUUUUUCUAGGCGUCGACCGGCGCACGGGUGAGUAACGCGUAUCCAACCUGCCCACCACUUGGGGAUAACCUUGCGAAAGUAAGACUAAUACCCAAUGAUAUCUCUAGAAGACAUCUGAAAGGGAUUAAAGAUUUAUCGGUGAUGGAUGGGGAUGCGUCUGAUUAGCUUGUUGGCGGGGUAACGGCCCACCAAGGCUACGAUCAGUAGGGGUUCUGAGAGGAAGGUCCCCCACAUUGGAACUGAGACACGGUCCAAACUCCUACGGGAGGCAGCAGUGAGGAAUAUUGGUCAAUGGGCGAGAGCCUGAACCAGCCAAGUAGCGUGCAGGAUGACGGCCCUAUGGGUUGUAAACUGCUUUUAUAAGGGAAUAAAGUGAGUCUCGUGAGACUUUUUGCAUGUACCUUAUGAAUAAGGACCGGCUAAUUCCGCGCCAGUAGCCGCGGUAAUACGGAAGGUCCGGGUGUUAUCCGGAUUUAUUGGGUUUAAAGGGAGUGUAGGCCGGAGAUUAAGCGUGUUGUGAAAUGUAGAUGCUCAACAUCUGCACUGCAGCGCGAACUGGUUUCCUUGAGUACGCACAAAGUGGGCGGAAUUCGUGGUGUAGCGGUGAAAUGCUUAGAUAUCACGAAGAACUCCGAUUG